rnacentral:lncRNA from 1 species
CAAAUCACAUCAAGGAUGGUAUUGUCACCAAUAGUCCUCUACAUUCCAAGGUGCCGGGACGUAGAAUGGGUCAACCGGUCUUUCUCUUAAACAUAACAUAUCAUAACAUUCCAACGUGCCGGGACGUAAAAUGGGUCAACCGAUCUUUCUCUUACAUAGUGCCGGGACGUAGAAUGGGUCAACCGGACUUCCAUACCAUGCCAUACCGUAUCAUAUCACAUCGUAUCAUAUUGAGGACUAAUGAUCAUCCAACAUCCAUCCACAUCAUCAUCAAAUUAUGCAAUGCAACAUAUUCGUG